rnacentral:rRNA from 1 species
UACGUGGGGUGCGAGCGUUGUCCGGAUUUAUUGGGCGUAAAGAGCUUGUAGGCGGCUCGUCACGUCGGGUGUGAAAACUCGCGGCUCAACCGCGAGCCUGCACCCGAUACGGGCGGGCUAGAGUUCGGCAGGGGAGACUGGAAUUCCUGGUGUAGCGGUGGAAUGCGCAGAUAUCAGGAGGAACACCGGUGGCGAAGGCGGGUCUCUGGGCCGAUACUGACGCUGAGAAGCGAAAGCGUGGGGAGCGAACAGG